rnacentral:rRNA from 1 species
AUUGCCUCAGUAACGGCGAGUGAAGCGGCAAGAGCUCAAAUUUGAAAGCUGGCCCCUUCRGGGUCCGCGUUGURAUUUGCAKAGGAUGCUUCGGGUGCAGCCCCCGUCUAAGUGCCCUGGAACGGGCCGUCWUAGAGGGUGAGAAUCCCGUCUGGGACGGGGUGUCUGCGUCCGUGUGAAGCUCCUUCGACGAGUCGAGUUGUUUGGGAAUGCAGCUCUAAAUGGGUGGUAAAUUUCAUCUAAAGCUAAAUACUGGCCGGAGACCGAUAGCGCACAAGUAGAGUGAUCGAAAGAUGAAAAGCACUUUGAAAAGAGAGUUAAACASCACGUGAAAUUGUUGAAAGGGAAGCGUUUGCGACCAGACUCGCCCGCGGGGUUCAGCCGGCAUUCKUGCCGGUGUACUUCCCCGUGGGCGGGCCAGCGUCGGUUUGGGCGGCCGGUCAAAGGCCCUCGGAAUGUAUCACCUCUCGGGGUGUCUUAUAGCCGAGGGUGCAAUGCGGCCUGCCCGGACCGAGGAACGCGCUUCGGCUCGGACGCUGGCGUAAUGGUCGUAAAUGACCCGUCUUGAAACACGGACCAAGGAGUCUAACAUCUACGCGAGUGUUCGGGUGUCAAACCCGUACGCRCAGUGAAAGCGAACGGAGGUGGGAGCCCCCUCGCGGGGCGCACCAUCGACCGAUCCUGAUGUCUUCGGAUGGAUUUGAGUACGAGCGUAGCUGUGGGGACCCGAAAGAUGGUGAACUAUGCCUGAAUAGGGCGAAGCCAGAGGAAACUCUGGUGGAGGCUCGCAGCGGUUCUGACGUGCAAAUCGAUCGUCAAAUUUGGGUAUAGGGGCGAAAGACUAAUCGAACCAUCUAGUAGCUGGUUCUGCCGA